CAGGACGAACGCUGGCGGCGUGCCUAACACAUGCAAGUCGAACGGAGCACUUCGGUGCUUAGUGGCGAACGGGUGAGUAACGCGUGAGAAACCUGCCUCUCAGUGGGGGACAACAGUUGGAAACGACUGCUAAUACCGCAUAACAUACCGGAAGGGCAUCCUUCUGGUAUCAAAGCUUUAUGUGCUGAGAGAUGGUCUCGCGUCUGAUUAGAUAGUUGGCGGGGUAACGGCCCACCAAGUCGACGAUCAGUAGCCGACCUGAGAGGGUGAUCGGCCACAUUGGAACUGAGACACGGUCCAAACUCCUACGGGAGGCAGCAGUGGGGAAUAUUGCACAAUGGGGGAAACCCUGAUGCAGCAACGCCGCGUGAAGGAAGAAGGCCUUCGGGUCGUAAACUUCUUUUACCAGGGACGAAGAACGUGACGGUACCUGGAGAAAAAGCAACGGCUAACUACGUG
rnacentral:rRNA from 1 species